rnacentral:sRNA from 1 species
GCUGCGAUUCAUGGGGUCGCAAAGAGUCGGACACGACUGAGCGACUGAUCUGAUCUGAUCUGAUCUGAUCCCGUGCCGAUCGGGUGUCCGCACUAAGUUCGGCAUCAAUAUGGUGACCUCCCGGGAGCGGGGGGCCACCAGGUUGCCUAAGGAGGGGUGAACCGGCCCAGGUCGGAAACGGAGCAGGAAGGGGCCAGUGUGGCCGAGCCUGGCUUGCUGACCUGCCCAGAGGGCAGGAGACCCAGGCCAGAGGGUCCA